GAUGAACGCUAGCGGCAGGCCUAACACAUGCAAGUCGAGGGGCAUCGGGAGAGAGCUUGCUUUCUUGCCGGCGACCGGCGCACGGGUGAGCAACGCGUAUGGAACCUACCUUCUACAGGGGAAUAGCCCAGGGAAACUUGGAUUAAUGCCCCAUGGACCUAGACGGCCGAAUGGCCUGUCAUGGUAAAGCUUCGGCGGUAGGGGAUGGCCAUGCGUCCCAUUAGCUAGUUGGUAAGGUAACGGCUUACCAAGGCGACGAUGGGUAGGGGCCCUGAGAGGGGGAUCCCCCACACUGGUACUGAGACACGGACCAGACUCCUACGGGAGGCAGCAGUGAGGAAUAUUGGACAAUGGGCGAGUGCCUGAUCCAGCCAUGCCGCGUGCAGGAAGACCGCCCUAUGGGUCGUAAACUGCUUUUGUACGGGAAGAACAGGGGAUACGCGUAUCCCUCUGACGGUACCGUAAGAAUAAGGAUCGGCUAACUCCGUGCCAGCAGCCGCGGUAAUACGGAGGAUCCGAGCGUUAUCCGGAAUCAUUGGGUUUAAAGGGUCCGUAGGCGGGCCGUUAAGUCAGGGGUGAAAGUCUGCGGCUCGACCGUAGAAAUGCCCUUGAUACUGGCGGUCUUGAGUUAUGGUGAAGUGGCCAGAAUAUGUGGUGUAGCGGUGAAAUGCAUAGAUAUCACAUGGAAUACCGAUUGCGAAGGCAGGCCGCUAACCAUAUACUGACGCUGAUGGACGAAAGCGUGGGGAGCGAACGGG
rnacentral:rRNA from 1 species